UUUAAACUGCAUUAAAACUUUUACGUGUUGGGGUCCAUUAAAAUGAGAAAAAUCCUGGAGUGUUUUCCUCAAAAAACAUAAUUUCUUCUCGACUGAACAAAGAAAGACAUCAACAUUUUGGAUGACAUGGUGGUGAGUAAAUUAUCUGGAUUUUUUUAAAGAAAAUGGACUAAUCCUUUAAGUUAAGUAUGUAUUAAGUUAUGUGCUAACAACUUCUCCCACAGCUGCCUGACAUGGGAGCUUAAUGUAAAGCAUUUACUAUGAAGAUUGUCACUUAAUAACUUGUAAUCAUCUUAUGCUGCUGUUUUCUUGUAGUAUUAAUGGUUACAUCUAACAGAGAAAAUGAGCUACACGUGACAGAUGACCUUGGACACAUACAUGGGAAUUACAUCAAGACACAUUCAGUAUAGAUCACUAGUGCUCAUGCAUACAGCUUAGGUGGCAGGGUUGGGCAUCUUGCACCAGUUGCCCUGCUGGGUGAUUUAUUCCCCAUGCGUAACACUGGAAUACUGGGAAUCUUCAAACAGUUUGACAAACCAGGCCUUACGUGACAAUCAGAUUUGCAAUGUGGUGGCAAAAUGGAACAGCUCAUUGUAGGUAGGCCUACCUUUAUUUUACUUUGUUCAUCAGUGGUAUUUCUAAACUGUCUUUAAAUUAUUUUGGACCCCCCUAUACGAAUCUCUGGUGGAUCUCCCUUGGACAGACAAGUGAGAGUAAUAUAUCGUCAUUACAUCGUAGGUGGUAGUAGAUGGUUGCACCUUGGAAUAUUUUGCCAAUAUUUUCCCCAAAAUAAAAGCCCCUGCGCCAACCUCCAUGUUCCUCAGCCGAACCCUCCCUCAAGUAAAGCAUUUCACUCACGUCUUCAGCCAGCCGCAACCCAUUCCCCUCCGACGUGACAACACAGGGCGCCUGAAGUUAACAUUUGGAUAACAGAUGUGUGUGCCUGCUUUCAUAUGCCUUUCAGGUGACAGGACAUCACAGGGUCUGUUUCUCGCAUCUCUCGGGUGAUACGGCGCAAACACUUGUUUCCUCAUUCCCCUCUCCUCUCAGGCAUGGCCGACCCCCUGUCACGAUUUACUAACCAAAUCCAUCCCGAGCUAGCAAGAGCAAAAUCUUGAAAGCAGGGGAUAUUGCCUGCUGUUGGGCCUGUCGAGUCAGCUAUGUGUGUUCCACAGUUGAGAUGGAGGCUUUUGGAGGGGUGGGGCAACGGAAAGGAGAAUCGCAAAUGCGCACACAGACAUUCAUUCCAACGAGAAGAGACACUUUACAACACAGAGAGGCAGCACAUUUAUCUCACAGACACACCUUUGUCAUCCUGUGUUUCCUUACACUAUUAAAAACAUAUCCAAGGUCUGAUUUUCGCACAUUUUACUCAAAGUUAAGGCUGUUGCUGGAGGAACAGCCAUCAGAAAUUCAUCUCACGGAUAUACAGAGGAAUUCAUAAUGCUUGUCUCAUUGUUUCUGGCUGAAUAGGAAGACAAGGCAGUGAAAUUCCCCCAUUACUUAACAGGGAUAUAAUUGGAACGGUGAAUAAACUUAAUCAGUAAAUGCACUAAAAAGUCCACUUGAUUCUACAAUAAAACCCUUGCUAUAAAGAAAAAAUGUACAGAUUUACACAUUGUUCCUUUAAACAUUUUAAAUGUUUUAUUAAAUGUUAUUUAACAUUUUGUAUAGACAAAAUUUGAUGACAUAAGAUGGUUUCAGUUCUCGAUUCAUCAAUAUGGCAUUUCAGGCUACGUAACACACAGCUGCUGCAUAAUGAAUUUGCU